rnacentral:rRNA from 1 species
GACGAACGCUGGCGGCGUGCUUAACACAUGCAAGUCGAACGGAAAGGCCCUGCUUUUGUGGGGUGCUCGAUUGGCGAACGGGUGAGUAACACGUGAGUAUCCUGCCCUUGUCUUUGGGAUAACUUCAGGAAACUGGGGCUAAUACCGGAUAGGAGCUCCUGCUGCAUGGUGGGGGUUGGAAAGUUUCGGCGGUUGGGGAUGGACUCGCGGCUUAUCAGCUUGUUGGUGGGGUAGUGGCUUACCAAGGCUUUGACGGGUAGCCGGCAUGAGAGGGUGACCGGCGACAUUGGGACUGAGAUACGGACCAGACUCCUACGGGAGGCAGUAGUGGGGAAUAUUGCACAAUGGGCGGAAGCCUGAGGCAGCAACGCCGCGUGCGGGAUGACGGCUUUCGGGGUGUAAACCGCUUUCGCAUGUGACGAAGCGUGAGUGACGGUAAUGGGUAAAGAAGCACCGGCUAACUACGUG